GAAAAUAGCUGUCCCAGGUCCACAUGUGGCAAUGAACUGUUGGAGCUGUUGCUGGCAUUGAGUGAGGGGUAUUGUUAUGGACCCAGGAUUACUAAACCUUGAGAAUGUCCGACUAAGCCUCCUAGGUCUGGUCGUGGGCCUGAACUCUGGGCCUGGGAGCUG